GGGCUUUAGAGUAAACUGCAGGGGAGGAGGAGAGACUGGGUUGUAGCAGGUCACAUCUAGCCAGAGCUUGCAUGUGUAGAGCCUGCAUUGGCGAGAAAAUUGGGGUCAAGGCUGCCUGGGCGACUGUAACUGAGAUCUGAGUCUGUGGAAAUGGUGUGAGGGAUGCUGAGCUUUUCACAUUGACCCCACUGUGGCUCCCUGCACUUACCACCCUAGUUGAGCUAAAGGCCAUAUGAAGGUUCAACCCAUAGCUGGUAGUUACCACUGACAACGUUCUGAGUGCAACCAAGUUAACUCUUUACAUGCAUCGUCCCCUCCAUCCCAGGCCACUAGAGAACAGAAUGCAUUCUUAAAGUCAUUUUAGAUUUCUCCAGAUUACCAAGCCAAGCUCAUCGGUCUAAGGCACUGAUUUCAUCACCAACUCCAUCUUCCUGAACCUUCAAUGGCUGGCCAGUGCCUUCAGAGCAGAGCCCAGUCAGCUAGCUUGAUGUUUGCAUCUCCCAGUGUCUUGCAAACUUCUUUCCUAAAGAUUCUUCACCCAAGAUAUCUGGCCAGAACAGAGGGCCCUCACUAUUAUCAGAUGAUGCCUCCUCACUCUCUCUCUCUCACUUCCUUGUCUCCACUCAUGGCCUGCAAUGAUCUUCCCCUGUCCCUUCCAGUUCAGCAUCACCUCUUCCGUGAGCCUUUCAUCACAACUUUGACCCCACUGAGAUUUCAUUAAAAGCAAACAAACAAACCCUCCAGCACUCAGGACUGUGGAGAGCCAUUCUCACACGUGACUGGGUGACUCCCGGUUUGGGUCUGAGGCGCUCUGACUAAUCUGUGUCGGAGCUUUCCCGGCCCUCUCCUGAUGAGAGAACCCGUCCGUGUGGGGGUGUGACUGACCACUGACCCUGGGGGCCCAAUCACUGACCCUGACCUUGGAGUGCGGCCCCCCCUCAACCUUCAUUGGAUGGAAUUCUCCCCUGAAUUUCUUGUUCCCCAAUAAAAGGCUACUCCCUGGCGUGCUCUCUCUCUCUCUCUCCUGCUAGCCCUGAGUAAUCCUUGCUGCCCUACGGGUGGUUCGGGUGGUUCGAGGUUGGAGCCAGAGAGGGGAGCUGUCUCGGACCUGGUCAUAGAAAAAGGUAACUGAGUCUGUGUGUUUU
rnacentral:lncRNA from 1 species